GUGUCAGCAGCCGCGGUAAUACGUAGGGUGCGAGCGUUGUCCGGAAUUAUUGGGCGUAAAGAGCUUGUAGGCGGUUUGUCGCGUCUGCUGUGAAAUCUCAAGGCUCAACCUUGAGCUUGCAGUGGGUACGGGCAGACUAGAGUGUGGUAGGGGAGACUGGAAUUCCUGGUGUAGCGGUGAAAUGCGCAGAUAUCAGGAGGAACACCGAUGGCGAAGGCAGGUCUCUGGGCCACUACUGACGCUGAGAAGCGAAAGCAUGGGGAGCGAACAGGAUUAGAUACCCCUGUAGUCC
rnacentral:rRNA from 1 species